GGGGUUGUGGCUCAGUGGUAGAGUGCUCACCUAGCAUGUGGGUGGCGCUGGGUUCAAUCCUCAGCACCA
rnacentral:tRNA from 1 species